AGUGAACGCUGGCGGUAGGCCUAACACAUGCAAGUCGAACGGCAGCACAGUAAGAGCUUGCUCUUACGGGUGGCGAGUGGCGGACGGGUGAGGAAUACAUCGGAAUCUACUUUUUCGUGGGGGAUAACGACGGGAAACUUACGCUAAUACCGCAUACGACCUCCGGGUGAAAGCUGGGGAUCUUCGGACCUUGCGCGAUUGAAUGAGCCGAUGUGGGAUUAGCUAGUUGGCGGGGUAAAGGCCCACCACGGCGACGAUCCGUAGCUGGUCUGAGAGGAUGAUAGGCGGCACUGGAGGGGAGCCGGGGACAAUGGGACUACGGGAGGGACCAGUGUGCAAUGGGGGACAACGGGGGCGAGUAUUAGCCAGUGGGACCGAGUGUGUGAAAGAGGCGUCCGGGGUGGGAAGCCCGCUUUCGGGUAGUAAAAAGCAUCCAGUUAAUACCCAGCGGUUGUGACGGUACCUAAAGAAGAAGCACCGGCUAACUUCGUG
rnacentral:rRNA from 1 species